AACGAACGCUGGCGGCAGGCUUAACACAUGCAAGUCGAACGGGCGUAGCAAUACGUCAGUGGCGGACGGGUGAGUAACACGUGGGAAUAUGCCUUUCGGUUCGGAACAACUCGGGGAAACCCGUGCUAAUUCCGGAUACGCCCUUACGGGGAAAGGAUUUAUCGCCGAAAGAUUAGCCCGCGUUGGAUUAGCUAGUUGGUGAGGUAAAGGCUCACCAAGGCGACGAUCCAUAGCUGGUUUGAGAGAACGACCAGCCACACUGGGACUGAGACACGGCCCAGACUCCUACGGGAGGCAGCAGUGGGGAAUCUUGGACAAUGGGCGCAAGCCUGAUCCAGCCAUGCCGCGUGAGUGAUGAAGGCCUU
rnacentral:rRNA from 1 species